AUGCGAUUAAGAUAUCUCGUGAAGUUGACCCCAAAGGGGAGCGAACCUUUGGAGUUUUGACGAAGAUUGAUCUCAUGGACAAGGGUACUGAUGCAGUUGAUAUCUUGGAAGGAAGAUCAUAUAAGCUACAGUUCCCUUGGAUUGGUGUUGUUAACCGCUCUCAGGCUGAUAUCAACAAAAGUGUGGACAUGAUUGCUGCUCGUCGUAGAGAGAGGGAG
rnacentral:misc_RNA from 1 species